GAUUUACUGAUGAAGAAGGGUUGAUUAUGAAAAUUGUCAAAAUUUCAACAAUGGAUUUUGGUUCCGGCAUCGAGAAGAACCAGCGAAAUGCGAUAAGUAAAAGAAUUGCAGAAUUCCGGGAAUCAUCGAUUCUCAUUACGUACAGCGCUUCGCUGGGCUUUUCGGGGGGCAUGCCUGUAAGAGAUUCAUUUUUGAAAUCUAGCACAAUCUUCAUAGUACUCAGGCAGCCCUUCUUCAUCAGGGUUCAAGAAGCGCUUCGGCGGGCGUGGGCCCGGGGACAGGCGUCCCCCGGCGACCAGGGAGCCCCAGUGGGCCCGCCAAAGCAACAGGUGUAGAGAGACAAGGGUGGGAGGUUGGGCCACGAGGGCCUCGCACUCGGUAAUGAUGCUA
rnacentral:rRNA from 1 species